rnacentral:rRNA from 1 species
UGGGGAAUUUUGGACAAUGGGCGAAAGCCUGAUCCAGCAAUGCCGCGUGUGUGAAGAAGGCCUUCGGGUUGUAAAGCACUUUUGUCCGGAAAGAAAUCCUUGGCUCUAAUACAGUCGGGGGAUGACGGUACCGGAAGAAUAAGCACCGGCUAACUACGUGCCAGCAGCCGCGGUAAUACGUAGGGUGCAAGCGUUAAUCGGAAUUACUGGGCGUAAAGCGUGCGCAGGCGGUUUGCUAAGACCGAUGUGAAAUCCCCGGGCUCAACCUGGGAACUGCAUUGGUGACUGGCAGGCUAGAGUAUGGCAGAGGGGGGUAGAAUUCCACGUGUAGCAGUGAAAUGCGUAGAGAUGUGGAGGAAUACCGAUGGUGAAGGCAGCCCCCUGGGCCAAUACUGACGCUCAUGCACGAAAGCGUGGGGAGCAAACAGGAUUAGAUACCCUGGUAGUCCACGCCCUAAACGAUGUCAACUAGUUGUUGGGGAUUCAUUUCCUUAGUAACGUAGCUAACGCGUGAAGUUGACCGCCUGGGGAGUACGGUCGCAAGAUUAAAACUC